GUAUGUUUAGAUGGAGAGCAAAAAGAAAUAUUUUAGGAAACCCUUGGAAUCUAACCACAGUGAAUUUUUUCUGCAUUUUUUAUUUUCCUUAUUUUCUACAGCAAUAUCAGUUCUUAUUGACACCACAAGUUAUUUGGGUCAAUAAACUUUCAAAACCAAGUUUUCUAUCAGUAAUAAACCAGAUACUACCAAAGAAUUAUUCAAAGGUGAACAUAUAUAUGAAUAAAUUGGAUUUUAGUAGACAAGAGAGGGACAAAGAAUACGUUACUUCAGUGACUCAAAGUGAGAAGUAUCCAAUUUAUUCCUAUAUAAUUAUUCCUAUACUUAGAAGGAUCUUGAGGCAUCCGACAGUGAAAAUUGAUUCAGUAGGUCUGUGUUGAGGCAGGAAUCUGUUUUUAAAAAGCAAUCUGGGUGAUUUAAACUUCAGGCAAGUUAAGGAAACAUGUUAAAGUAUGGAUGAAAAGGUUUGUCUGCAUACAGCUUCCAAAAUACCCAACUUGUUAGACAUAUUUAAAACCAAACAAUUGUAGAGUAUCAUGGAUCUGGAGAACUAGCGGAGCAGAGCCCUACUGCUCCUGUCAGUAUGCAGCUCCAGUCUGUCAAAUUCAUAAUCAGAAACACACACCUUUCUAGAAGUGAAGUUGACCCCAUUCUUCGCAAUCUCCAGUCCAGGGCUGCCCUGGGAGAAACUUUGCACCUUCUUUGAAGUUUUGAAACUGAACUAGGAGAGAGACCAUACUCCAGGGGAUCUGCAGGCCUUGUGAUGUCUUCUAGAGCUUUUUGCAUAGGGAAAAAACAAGACAAAAUGAAAAUGAAACAUCCAUAGGAGCCCUCCAGAAUCCUGCAAGUUGUCUGGCAGUAGGGUUCACAGUUUCUCCUAGCAUGACCCUGCGCUGAUCAGCAACUACAAGAAUUGGCUCCUGUGUGUGACACUGUACUGCUGGGGCCUGAUCACAACCCACAACUACAGUGUUGUCACAGCUGCUGCCUCUACUUCCACCUCUGUGAUUUCACAGCCAUGAAUCAACCACAGUGCUUCUACAAUGAAUCUAUCACCUUCUAUAACUUCAGUGGAAAGUAUUUUGCCAAAGAAUGAAAUAGUCGGCAAGUUGGUGAUGGGACUUAGAUUCUAACUGUAUCUUCAUUUUGUUGGCCAACCUACUAGUCAUGGUGGCAAUUUACAUCAACCAUUGCUUCCAUUUCCUCUUCAUUACUUAAUGGCUCAUUUGGCUGCUGCAGACUUCUUUGCUAGGUUGGCCUAUUUCUACAUGAUGUUCAACACAGGUCCCAAUACUCAGAGACUGGCCAUUAGCAUGUGGCUUCUCCAUGAGGGCCUCAAUGACACCAGCCUGAUAACAUUUGUGGUCAACCUACUGGCUAUUGCAAUCAUGAGGCACAUUUCAUUUUUCCACACAGAGUUCCAUACAUGGAUGAGAAACUGGCAGGUGGUAGUCGUCAUUGUGGUCAUAUGAACUAUGGUCAUCGUUACAGUUGCUAUGCCCAGUGUGGGCUGGUGACCUUUGUGGUAAUGGUGGUUUUCUAUACUUGCCUCUUUGGUUACAUUCACCAGAGAAUGUAUUAGACUGUCUUGGCACAGUUCUGGAUCCUAGUGGAAUAAGAACAUCAUGAUGUCUUCUGAAGACUGUAGUAAUUAUGCAUAGUGCCUUUAUCAUCUGCUGGACUCCUGGAUUGGUCUUGUUACUGCUAGAUGUGUGUUGUCUGUAGGGCAAUGUUGAGAAUGUCUGUAGGCCUAUGAAAAAUUUUUCCUCCUCCUUACUGAAUUCAGCUCUGCCAUGAACCCCGUCAUCAACCGAGACAAAGAGAUGAGUCCCACCUCAAACAGAUCCUCUGCUGCCAGCACAGGGAGAGCACCAACAGCCCCACAGAAGGCUGACUGUUCUGCUUCCACCCUCAACCACACCAUCUUGGCUGGAGAUCACAGUAAUGGCUACUCUGUGGCUCAGAUGUGAAGCCAGCUGUCCCCUAUGAAGAAAUGAACUGCCUCCCUCCACCUAGUUACCAGCGCAAGGUGGG
rnacentral:lncRNA from 1 species